CUCUGUGUCCGUACUUUCUGUUUUGAAUCUCAGAUGUUUGUAUGUUCACUCAGUCAUCGAACAAAUAUUUGGCAGCUACAAAGGCGGAGAAUGGAACCCCUUGCAGGCUGGUUACCAUGCUACAGCCAAAACAGCAUUUGGUUGUCACCUUGCCCAGGCCUGACCAGUUUCCCUCCUCAACUCUGGGGGAGCCCCCUGAACUUAAACUACCUGAAUCCCAGACUACCUGGGAGUCAUCUGAGAUGCUCACCCCUUUGGAGACAUUCUUCAGUUCCUGCUGGUCCUCCAACCACAGACAGUGAGUACCCUUGCUCACCAAGGCAGCCUCUUGCCUGUUUACAUAAUGAUUUGGUUAAGAUCUGUCUGUAUUCCUAUGGCUUCUGGUGAUUGUUUUUUGUUCGUUCGUUUGUUUGGUUUGGUUUGGUUUUUUAAAAUAAAAAUUGGUGAGACAA